UGUGGCUCAGCGGUAGAGUGCUUGCCUAGCAUGUAUGAGGCACUGGGUUCAAUUCUCAGCA
rnacentral:tRNA from 1 species